rnacentral:rRNA from 1 species
AUGACGUCGACCCUAUGGCCGGACUCCGUCCAACCGAGCAGCUUCUCGCGCCUGGCGCGUCGAUUGGAGAUGGGGCCGAACCGGCUUGGCGAGUGGCGCGUCUCCGCCGCUCGUGCCGGUGCUGAGAUGGCGCUCCGGUUCGCACUGUCCUGGCAUCCGGACCUGCAGCUGGACGCGUUGAUGGGCCAGCGGGCCGGUUCGGAGCAGCUCUUGCAGGAGCAUGCCGGCCGGAUCGCCUCCCGGGCCAGCUACAUCGCCGAGUUCGCCUUCCACGACGAGUUCCAUCCGGAGCGGACGGAAGACGGCGGGGCCGAGGACGGCGACGACUACGGCUUGCUCCUCCACGAUCCGGAGGGGAGCUCGGAGGAGACGGGCGUCUACCGCGACGCGGAUGCUGAGGAGGGCACCGGCACCUCGCCGGACCCGGAGGCCGCGAGGGGAGAGCCGUCGAUGUCGCGACACGGCGCUGGAGAUGCCUGA